rnacentral:rRNA from 1 species
GAUGAACGCUGGCGGCGUGCCUCAAACAUGCAAGUCGAGCGAGGCUAUGAGUUACCGCAAGUAAGGCAUAGCCUAGCGGCGAACGGGUGAGUAACACGUGGGUAACCUACCUGGAAGACAGGGAUAACGAUUCGAAAGGGUCGCUAAUACCUGAUAAUAUCCAUCUGCCGGAUGGCGGAGGGAAGAAAGGGGAAACCCGCUUUCAGAUGGGCCCGCGUCCCAUCAGCUAGUUGGUAAGGUAAAGGCUUACCAAGGCGACGACGGGUAGCCGGUCUGAGAGGAUGUACGGCCACACUGGGACUGAGAUACGGCCCAGACUCCUACGGGAGGCAGCAGUUGGGAAUCUUAGGCAAUGGACGAAAGUCUGACCUAGCGACGCCGCGUGAGGGAAGAAGGCCUUCGGGUUGUAAACCUCUGUCAUGGGGGAAGAAGGAAGUGACGGUACCCCAAGAGGAAGCCCCUGCUAACUACGUG